rnacentral:rRNA from 1 species
GAGCACGUAGGUGGGUUUGUAAGUCAGAUGUGAAAGCCUUCUGUUCAACGGAAGAAUUGCAUCUGAAACUGCGAGUCUUGAGUGUAGGAGGGGAGAAUGGAACUUCUGGUGGAGCGGUGAAAUGCGUAGAUAUCAGAAGGAACGCCGGCGGCGAAAGCGAUUCUCUGGCCUAUUACUGACACUCAGUGUGCGAAAACUAGGGGAGCAAACGGGAUUAGAUACCCCGGUAGCCCUAGCCGUAAACGAUGGGCACUAAGUAGAGGGGUUUU